UGCUUUAAAAUUGUCUUGAUACUACUUAUAUUCAUUUAAUUAUGUUUAUCGGCCUAAGUUACUUAUAUUGCGUGAUAUUUAUAUGUGAAGCUAGCUUAUAGCAUGGUUAUUAACAUAAUAACAACAACAUUCAAAUAUGCGUCGUUAGAUUACGCGUUGUUACAGAAUGCGUUGAAGAAAUAAAGGUUCACUGCUCGUUCCCCGUAGGUGAUAGC
rnacentral:misc_RNA from 1 species